AUAAUCAACACAGCCAGUACAGCUUGUUUGGAAGCUGGGGUCAGAGCGCAGGGUCAGAGAUUGUACGGCACCACUGGAGCAGACAGGGUUAAGGGCCUUGCUCAGGGGCCCAACAGUGGCGGCAUAGCAGAGCUCGUAUUUAUACCAAUCUUCAGACUGACAGCCCAAAGCUCUACCAACUACUAGACUACACAAAGGUUUGGUGUGAGAGGAUGUUUGCUAAAUCCGAAGCACCACAGAUACUGCAGUCGGCCGUGAGGAGAGGUUUCAGCUCUCGGAGUGACCACGGUACAGUAGAGAACUCGCUACCCCACAAUUUUGGACGCCUCGCUGCCAGUGGAAAAAAUAAAUCAGAUGGUUUGUUGCAUCAUCUGAGGGAAAAUCUCUCCUGGAAAUUUCAUCUGAAGCUCUGAAUGAUGAUCGUGAGUCUGAUCGUUCUAGAAAGAAUAUAAACAUUACACAGAUACGCAACACGUUUCUCUGCUUCCUAACAUCUUCUGCUAUUUGGAUUCG